CGGAGAGGCGCACUCAGUACCUUCGAAUCCGACUACAGCUGAGGCCAACAUGAACCGUGCCUUUGGAAUGGACCUGCUGCUGGCUGUUGCCAUUGCGAUAGCUGUUCUCAUCAUGGCACCAACUGAUGCUCUCGCUGGUGCAGGAGGUGUCGGUGGAAACGAUGGUAUCGGUGGCGUUGGCAA
rnacentral:lncRNA from 1 species